CCCCCCUCUCAAAAGGGGGGCGAUAUUCCCAGGAGAUUCGCCCCCCCCCCUCUCAAAAGGCAUAUCGCCCCCCAGGGGGCGAAUCUCCUAGGAAUAUCGCCCCCCUUCAGGAAUUUC
rnacentral:miRNA from 1 species